AGAGCUAAAACAUUGUUGAGAGGUGUUAUGAAGACUAGUGAAAGCAGACUGAGAUCUGACUUAGGAGUUUUCUCGCUAUCUAGAUGCAGCGUCGUUGAUUGUUCCUUUAUUGGAAACUAUUUCACUCACUACAAUCUUCGGCCUGGCCAUCUUUAGGUGUACAGCUGCCUUGAUCGUCCUUAAAUGGCUUAAGUAUUCUUGCUGGGACGUAUCUUUUCUUACCUGUCGGUUGGUCAUCACGGUCAUCACAGUGAUCAUAGUCAAUUAUAGUCAUCUUUGAUCUACGGGAUGUACUGUGGUGUAUGAACCAGUGGCAGUGCAUGUUGGUUAAUGAACAGUGGCAAGUGCAAUGGAGAUUGUCGUUAGAAUUUGGUAAAGAGUAUGAUAUAUGUGCGUGAAAGAAAGUGAAAGUGGUAAUGAAAUAAAUGAGUUCCAGUGGUUUAAUAUUUGCCGAUGGAAGCUAAUUUAAAAAUUGUUAAUUUAUUUUAUAGUCUUCAGAUUCGUUACUGGUAACGCAUUUCUUCAGAAUGCUCGACCUUAUCAUUUCUGACAUGUGGUUUUGCACAUAUUGUUUACUAACCUUUGUGGAUAUUCCAGUAAUUUAAACAUACAUAUAUUUGAAUUCAUCUGUCGAAAUUAGUUGUGUUUGUGUGUAUUUCAUUCAGAGCAUGGAACCGCAACAGUACUUUAUUGUGUUAAGUGACACUGAGCAUAUGAGGAAAUGCGUAUAAUUUCGUGUGCAGAAACCUUUAGUUAUUAAAAUAAAUCAACAGUGGAGUGUGAUUUUAAGAAAAGAUUAUGGUUUUGCCCGCAAAUUGUUAUUUAAAUUUAAAAGAUUAUGUGUUCUUAUAAUUGUAGGUGCAUUUUAACAACGAUUUUCGUGCCAGAAUUGGACACUUAGAUUAAGUGAAAUAAAUACUAGGACCAGUACAUGUCAAUCUCUUUGACAGUUGACUGAAACAUGAUGUUUAUGGUGAACCAAAAGAAUUAUAAGUUCCAAGUUGAGUUAUAUUUGGAGGAGUUAGCUGCUGUUCCAUAUGUGACUGGCUUCAUAUUUGCUAAAGUACGUCUUCUGGGUCGGGGCAACUUCUGUGAGUUUACGACCAGUCCCGGACACGUGAAAAUGGGCCUCGUCACUACAGAUCAAAACAGAUGUGA